UUUACUGCUGUGAUCACUCAGUGUCUGAUGUCAGUUGUUGGCGUGUCCUUGUCAUAAAUUCUAUUUUUUGUCUAUUUUUAAUCACGCUGGUCUCUUUGUGAUCAUUUUGCAGAAACCUUUUGUUCUUUACAGUUGUUUGUGUUUUGUGUGUUCAGCUGGGUCUAUUUUUUUUUUUUUUUUUGUUUGUAUCUUUGAUCACAACAACACGUUUUCGGUCUUUUACCGUGGAAGUCUAUGGGGCUGACUCGCUGCUGCCUCUGCUGGACGUCAGAGGAAUUGCAGAUUGUGGCACUUCCGCGUUGGCUUAGAGAUUUCCGCGGAGUGAUCCUUCUUCCUCCAUCAGGAUCUCCACAGCCUUCACUCCGCCGACACGUCGAUCGGGAUUCUCUGCCUGGAAACACCGCAAACUAAUCGGAACCGGCGGCCGACACAGACGGAGCGGUCUCGCGGGCUUCGUGGGGGUCGAUUAGGCGGGACUCUUUUUCAUGACUAAAGAUGGGAAGUGAUCAGAGCCACGAGAGGAAGGCUGAGGAGACUGAGAAGGAAAGUGAAAAACAUGAGCAGUGUGACAAAACUGAGGACGCGACUCCUGAAGAGGUGCCAGGAGAGCUGCCCCAGUGCAGGAUGGGAAACAGGAGGGUGGACAACAUGUGUUUCAUGAUCUCGUGCACUAACUGGUACUGAACUGGUCCCCGUGUGUUGGGCUCAUGAUGAAACAGACACACAUCUGUCUGCGUCUGUGCUGCUACAACAACAAAUGCACCGGACUUCACUUUCCUUACAUUCAAAACCAAGACUAAUGAUAAGAGGAAGGGAUGGAAAAAGGAUUUCAAACGAUGGGUCACAAGAUUCGUGGACUGUGUGGGAGAUGCUUGGAUUUCUGGUCAUGCCAAUAAAGACUGAGCAAAAGUAAAGAAGUGUUGCUCGUCAUGCUCUGUGGGUUCAGACAGCUGUGUGAAAACGAUCAAAGAGAAGCGAGAGCUGAACAAAGGUUGCUCACUUCAGUUGUUGAUGUUCAGACAGAAUUACACUGGAAAGGAAACGAAAGGAGGAUGGAAGAGGGAAAGGAAGGAAAGAAGGAGAUUGGGAAAGGGAAGGAAGUAAGGAAAGGAGAAGGAAGCAAAAAAAGGAAGAAAGCUGACAACGGAAGGAAAGGAAGGAGGAAACAUGAAAGAAGAAAGGGGGUUAGGGAAGAGGCAGGAAGGAAGGGAAAAUGGAUGACAGAAAGAGAGGAAAGUAAGGAUGAAAGGAAAGGAAAUGAGAGUACCUAAGGAAGGAAUGAAACAGGAAGAAGAAGACUAAGAAGGAAAGGGAACAAAGGAAGGAAAGGAAGAUGAAAUAAGGAUAGCAACGGAGAAGUAAGGAAUGAGACCAGAAAGGGCAAAUGAAUUAAGGAGUUAAGGAGGAAAGGGAAAAUCAAAGAAGGGAGCAAAUAUGAAAGGAAGUAAAGAAGAAAAAGGAAAGAAGGAAGAAAAGAAGUGGUUUUGGUAAAAAGGAGACCUUUGGGUCUAAUUUGUUUCACUCAGAGCUGUAAAAAUCCAAACACACUGCAGCGUGUUCAGAGUUCAGCAGGAACGACAUUAAUCAGCAGACCUAAAGAAGUUUCAGUUUAAGACGUGAUGGAUUCAUCAGGAUUAUCAUUAUUCAAGUCUGUGAUAAGAUUAAUGCUGCAUAUCUGACACUUACUGUCUCAUAAUUAUGAGAAAGUCUUCAGGUGGUUAUAAAUCAUCUGUGCUUGAGAGGACGGGGCGACGGCGCUGAAUGAUUUAAGUUUAAUGAAUAUGAGCUCGGGUUUUAACACAAGUGGCUCCUUUUUCUUUUUUUCAACAAAGUCGUUCGGAGAAUGUCACAAAAGCCCCAACUGGUGCGAACAGACGGGGAAUUUUACAAGAAACAAGAAGGAUGACGUCCCAGCCGGAGACAACACGAGCCUCAGUUUGGUUAUUAUAUCAGAUAUUACAGCUCGACUGAAAAACUCAGACAACUCCUGUUCCUGCAAUAGUAAAGGAAAAAAAGGAGGAAAUAAUAAGGAAGAAAAGAGGGAAAAAAGGAAAGAGCGGAAGGAAGAAAAGGAAUGACAGAAGUAGAAAGGAAGGAAAUAUGAAAAGGAAAGGCUAUGAAGAAGUUGAAAAGGGAACAACAAAUGGAAAGGAACAAAUGAUAAAGGAAAGGAAGCAAGGAAUUAAGAAUCAGUGAUGGAAAUAAAGAAGUAUGGAAGGAAAGGAGGAAAGAAUAAAGGAUGAAGGAAAGACAGGAGAGAAGAUGAUGGAAAGGGAGGAAGAAAAGGAAACGAAUGAACAAACUUAAACUGUAGUUCCUCCUGUGACCACUUGAGGCUCCAGCAGUGACUCAGUGCCUGUAAACGCUCUGCGGUAUCUAUGGAUCGAUUCCUCCUUCCUAACACCUGUACGGGGUUUAGAGGCUUUGUUAUAACCCACCCAGCUGAUGGGUCCUGUCUGUGUCAGAAAGCAGGAAUCAGGACUAGAAGAUAAGCCUGGUAUUAAAAUGUACGAGUCCUUUCAUAUGCUUUUACUCGUUCUGAGCAGCCGCCUACAGUGUCUCACAUGGUGGUAGAACUUUUAAAGUUUACCCAGAAUGCACUUUUUUGGUUUCCUGUGCUGAACUAUCAGAAAUCAGAUCAAUAACGUAGCAACGCUUGCUUCUGUUUCUCUACAUCACAGACAUUACAACAGGAAGACGCCCUUUUCAUGUGUCACGGUUCUGGUACAAAUAACAGAAAUGGGAAUUUUGCACAAAUAUAAGCUAACAAUAACUUUGAUAAUGUUCGCUCAUGUCUCAUGUUGGGCAGACUUACUCACUACUUCCUCUUGUGGUCCAAAAUGGUUUUACACGAGAGAAUCCUGGUGCUGUUUUAACUUUGGGGAUCUGUUUUAGACAGAACAUCAUGGAUGUUGCUUCUUCACGUUCUCCUGAUGGGUUCAGUUAAUUUUACAAUUAAAGAAACAUCUUUUCAUUUGACCUUCAAGAUGAGAAAAAUAGCAGCUGUUCAGUGAGGCAGGAGGACAGAGUGUAAGUCUUUCCAUAGCAGAGUGUGGACGUGUGUCCUUGUGAGACAUUAGCAGGUCGACUCCUCAAAAACCUCCGAGGGGAACCCUUAACUUGCUAAAUGGUGAUGCACUGACCCAUUUCGAGCAAUUACAGUGUCAGCCAUAAAACGUAUGAAGUCAAAAGCAUGUGAACUGACCCAAUGAUCCAUUUGGACGUAAUAAAAGAAGUCAAAUUUUCUCCAAAUGACGCAUUAAAUCUCCAUGAAAUUAAAACGGAGUUAGAAGGCAUCAGUGUGUCUGAGCUAGUCUGCUCCGUCCCAUUACUGGGCAGGUGGCUGAACAUAUUGCAUUUCAUCAGAAGAGCAGCAUACGUGUCCCUAAAGGGGCAUUUCUGCAAAAUACCACAAGGCAGAUUUAUGAUGCACAUCUGUUAGAUUUUUUCUGCUCAUCAUGUUGCAGAUGCUCCGGAGCAGUUAACAAACCUGCGAAAAAUUCAUCCACUAUCAGGACUAUUAAAAAAUGAAAUGUGCACUUUUUAGAUUAAUGCAUGUACAGAAAAGUGAUGUAAACACAGCAAAAAUGCUUGUUUUCCUUUUUAGAUCAAUAAAAAUAUGUCUGUUAUGCAGCAGCUGUCUGACACAGUCGUGAUGAAGCAGGGAAACGGCAUUAAAGCGAACGCAGAAAGAUCAAAAGUUAGAUUAACAACGUUCCUGAUAUACAGAAGGAAAAGGAGCACAGCUUUUGAAAAAUUUUAAAUGAUGCCCUCAAACAGCCUGCAGGGCAGAGACACAGAAGUGUUGGUUAGUCAGAAAUGUAACCACGUUGACGGGAAACUCGGGCGUCCAAAAAUCAGUUCAUUUCAGUUCAACUCAGACAACCAUUAUCUUUAUAAUGUGCUUUAUAGAGCAAAAAGCUCACAACAUCAGAGAGACAACCCCAACAAUCACACAAUCCCCCAAUGGUGACAGCUGGGAGGAAGAACUCCCUUUUAACAGGAAGUGACCUCAUGCAGAAGCAGGGUUCAUGGGUUUCAAACGUAACUCUGGGCCCAUCAGAGAUGUAAUCCAUGACUCAUGACGAGUUAUUGAUCUGCAAAAAAAGUAAAAGACUCGUCUUAGACAAUGAAGUUUUCACUUUUAUUGACAGUUCAUUGUUAACAGAACAGGUGUUAUUGGUAUAUGACCAGCGUGGACAAUAAAACCAAAGCAAACAUAGAAAAAAAAAGAAACAAACAUCUCUGCUCCAGUCAAGUGUUUAAAUAAGAAAACCGCAAUUAUAAUUUUCUCGAGUCAUUAACGUAAACAUGCCUAUCCGAUAUAAGCAUCGUCAUAAAAAUGGUAUAACAUCGUGUGCAAAGGAUGAUGAGGUUCAUCUUAAAUAAGAGAGAAAUAAAGAUAGAAAACGUUCUAUUUACAGGAUGUCCGACUGGAACAUGAGAAAAAACAAACUGUGCUUUAGUUCGCUUGUAAAGAAGUGAGCCAAGGUCCGAUUUUUUUCAUUUUAAUUUUAUAAUCAACCCAUUUAGUCAUAAAAACCCAAAAAUCCAAAGAAAAAC